GUAACGCGUGGGAACGUACCCUUUGCUUCGGAAUAGCCCCUGGAAACGGGGAGUAAUACCGGAUGAGCCCUACGGGGGAAAGAUUUAUCGGCAAAGGAUCGGCCCGCGUUGGAUUAGGUAGUUGGUGGGGUAAUGGCCUACCAAGCCGACGAUCCAUAGCUGGUUUGAGAGGAUGAUCAGCCACACUGGGACUGAGACACGGCCCAGACUCCUACGGGAGGCAGCAGUGGGGAAUCUUAGACAAUGGGCGCAAGCCUGAUCUAGCCAUGCCGCGUGAUCGAUGAAGGCCUUAGGGUUGUAAAGAUCUUUCGUGGGGGAAGAUAAUGACGGUACCCCAAGAAGAAGCCCCGGCUAACUCCGUGCCAGCAGCCGCGGUAAUACGGAGGGGGCUAGCGUUAUUCGGAAUUACUGGGCGUAAAGCGCACGUAGGCGGAUUGGAAAGUCAGAGGUGAAAUCCCAGAGCUCAACUUUGGAACUGCCUUUGAAACUCCCAGUCUUGAGGUCGAGAGAGGUGAGUGGAAUUCCGAGUGUAGAGGUGAAAUUCGUAGAUAUUCGGAGGAACACCAGUGGCGAAGGCGGCUCACUGGCUCGAUACUGACGCUGAGGUG
rnacentral:rRNA from 1 species